AUAGGAAUUCUGCUUUAACUUGUUCCUGCUUGUGGUGCAUACUACAGAAUGAAAUUAACACUUUUACCCUUCUGGAGGAGAACACGAAUCUUUGGGAACUAGUUCAGGAAGCUCUAAAUACUCUGAAGUCCAAAGAAGUUGUAUGUUGGGUGGGCUCCCUUCAACUUUAACAUGGAAGUGCUUUCUGUGACUUUAAAGGGAUUCUGCAUCUUCAGAGCUGCUUCUCUUCCUCUUCCCUGUUCUGACUUCAGGAUCUGGACUUACCUCAAUUGCUUUUGCUGCUUGUUCUUUUGUUUCAAAUUCCACAAACGCAAAUCCCUUUGGAUCUCCAGUAGACUUAUAAUGUGGUAUACUUAUAUAAACAACAUUGCCACAUUUCCCAAAUACUCUUUCAAUCCAGCUGUGAUUAACAUUUUUGGGAAGUAACUCCUAUUAUAAAUUAAAAGCAAUAUUAGAGUUUUUCACAAUCAGAAUGUCAAUAAAUUUUUAACUUAAUUAUAUUGUUUCUGUGCCAGUUUCUGACUGGGGACCCGGGUUCUUAAGCUUACCACAUACACUGUGCGUUCAUCCUCAUCCUUUGGUCUUUCCCCCAGAGGUUUUUUCCUCCGGAUUCUGGUGCCUUCCAAAUCAAGCUUUAAAAUAGUAUAUUACAUUAAUAAAACUAAUAUUAUUUAUAAUUGUAAGCUAUAAUCAUAUAAUAAUCAUUACGUUAACAUUCUUUAUAAUUAUAAACUAUAAAUAUA
rnacentral:lncRNA from 1 species